UGCUCAACUGGCUGCUGAAGAAGCUCUUAGAGUAGAAGCAGUUCCUUCUGUCAGUGUUUCUCCUCUUGUGCCUACAUCAAUAAAUGAAUUUCAUGUGUCUACAUCAAAAAAUGAAUUUAAUGUGCCCACAUUGAAAAAUGAAUUUCCUGCGUCUACAUCAAAAAAUGGAUUUCAGCUGUGUGCCAGAUGCUUUGCUCCUGCUACAACUCGCUGCUCCAGAUGCAAA
rnacentral:lncRNA from 1 species